GGGAUAACCUUGGGAAACUGAGGAUAAUACUGGAUAGGCAAUUAUUCCUGGAAUGGUUUUUUGUUUAAAUGUUUUUUCGCCUAAGGAUGGGUCUGCGGCCGAUUAGGUAGUUGGUUAGGUAACGGCUUACCAAGCCAUUGAUCGGUACGGGUUGUGAGAGCAAGAGCCCGGAGAUGGAACCUGAGACAAGGUUCCAGGCCCUACGGGGUGCAGCAGGCGCGAAACCUCCGCAAUGUGAGAAAUCGCGACGGGGGGAUCCCAAGUGCCAUUCUUAACGGGAUGGCUUUUUAUUAGUGUAAAGAGCUUUUGGAAUAAGGGCUGGGCAAGACCGGUGCCAGCCGCCGCGGUAACACCGGCAGCU
rnacentral:rRNA from 1 species